CAAACGACUCUCGGCAACGGAUAUCUCGGCUCUCGCAUCGAUGAAGAACGUAGCGAAAUGCGAUACUUGGUGUGAAUUGCAGAAUCCCGCGAACCAUCGAGUCUUUGAACGCAAGUUGCGCCCGAAGCCGUUCGGCCGAGGGCACGUCUGCCUGGGCGUCAC
rnacentral:rRNA from 1 species